rnacentral:sRNA from 1 species
UCUCACCCUCUCUGUGGUACAUACAUUUCAUUCUUUGAAUUUGAGACACAAGAACCCAAAAGCCUCUGGCUUGGGGUGGUUGUGAGGUUGUUGAGUUUCCAGGACCCUCACCUCCCAAGCUAAGCACAGAAGAGCUGACUGAGAAAGCUUCUGCUGCCAUCAAAAAUGCCAAGAUAUCCCUGUAAUUUCUUUGCCAUUGACACUAGACUCUCCCUCUCCCUUUAAGGAGAAACAAACACACACACCCAAAUCUCUACUCUCACCACUGACAUCAAAGAACAACUCCUUCCUAUUUUUUCUUUCUUUUUUUUUUUUUUUUUGAGAAAUGUCAGGGACAUAGGAUUUUAUAAACUGGAGAACCGAAAGCGGGGAAAGCUUUGUCUGUUCGGCCUGAACUUCCCUUCAGCAGUUCCUCUACUUGGCUUUCUUCCAGAGAUGUGUAGCAGCGGCAGCAGGAAGAACCGGGCAAUGGGACAGGAUAGGAGACAAGAACCUAAUCAGAAAUGUCAGCAGUGGUGACAGGGGGAUCUCUGCGAGUUCAAAGACAAUCUGGUCUACAGAGCCAGUUCCAGGACAGCCAAGACUGCACAGAGAAACCAUGUCUCAGAAAAAAAGGAAGGAAGGAAGGAAAAGAAAUAGGUUUGCAUUGUGAUUUAACAACCACAUCAAGAGAUCCCGGUCUGUCCUAAGGAAUUAAGACAGGAAAUUAGUUAACAGAGGCUCCAUUAUGCCACUAGACCCUGGUGACCCAGUGUCUGCCAGCAGUGCUCUGCCUCCAACAGCUCCUAAUUUUAAAUUUCAAGAAGACAAAUGUGAUUGCUUUAAUUUGGAUCACAUGUCCACCCCUAGAUCAACUCAGCCUAAGCAACAGAUCACCCCCAAACCCAUCUGUAAAUAGAGCUAUGUCCAAAGGCAGAGGCACACCAUCCACUCACGUGUUUAUACAUCUGACAAGUGGAGCACGUACCAAAGUUCCCCAGUGUUGCCAACAUGGCAGUGCCCUCACACCAUGACAGUCACCUGGAGAAAAGACACUAGAUAAAGUCCAACAGCACUCGAAGGAGAUCAAUUCACCUACAACGAAUGAAGAUAAUUUGACACAUAUUCUGGUGGUAAACAGUCAACACCACCAAGUACAUCGGCAAGUUGAACAGAAGCUCACACCAUCGCAGUAAAGAACAGACACAAAGGGGCUUACAUCCCUGGGAAGCAGCUCAGUUGGUAAAGCACACACGGGCCUGUGAUGCUGCAGGCCUGUAAUCUCACAAUGGAGAGGUGGAGGCAGGAGGAUCUAAAGCUGUAGCAGCAGACCACAUAAAACACAACAUGUUUAUACGGCAGUAGGAGUGAGCGCUCUGCAGAUCUCAGCAGAUGCUGGUAUAAAGUCUCCAAUGGACACAAUGCUAAGGAAAAGGAACUGGGGCUGGAGAGACGAGUCAGCAGCCAAGAGCACUGACUGCUCUUGCAGAGGACCUGGGUUCUGCUCCCAGCACCUACAUGAUGAGUUACAACCAUCCCCUUGUAACUGCACUUCCACAGGAUUCCCCACUCUCCUGAUCCCCCACAGACAGUGGGCACAAACACGGCUCAAAAUAAAUAAAAUGUAGAUGAAACACUCUUUCACAUAAA